rnacentral:rRNA from 1 species
GACGAACGCUGGCGGCGUGCUUAACACAUGCAAGUCGUACGGUAAGGCCCUUUCGGGGGUACACGAGUGGCGAACGGGUGAGUAACACGUGAGUAACCUGCCCACAACUUUGGGAUAACGCUAGGAAACUGGUGCUAAUACUGGAUAUGUGCUCCUGCUGCAUGGUGGGGGUUGGAAAGCUCCGGCGGUUGUGGAUGGACUCGCGGCCUAUCAGCUUGUUGGUGGGGUAGUGGCCUACCAAGGCGGCGACGGGUAGCCGGCCUGAGAGGGUGACCGGCCACAUUGGGACUGAGAUACGGCCCAGACUCCUACGGGAGGCAGCAGUGGGGAAUAUUGCACAAUGGGCGCAAGCCUGAUGCAGCAACGCCGCGUGCGGGAUGACGGCCUUCAGGUUGUAAACCGCUUUCAGCAGGGACGAAGCUUUUUGUGACGGUACCUGCAGAAGAAGCACCGGCUAACUACGUG